UUCCGGAGGGACACGUAGGGAAUCUUCCGCAAUGGACGAAAGUCUGACGGAGCAACGCCGCGUGAGUGAUGAAGGUUUUCGGAUCGUAAAGCUCUGUUGUUAGGGAAGAACAAGUACCGUUCGAAUAGGGCGGUACCUUGACGGUACCUAACCAGAAAGCCACGGCUAACUACGUGCCAGCAGCCGCGGUAAUACGUAGGUGGCAAGCGUUGUCCGGAAUUAUUGGGCGUAAAGGGCUCGCAGGCGGUUUCUUAAGUCUGAUGUGAAAGCCCCCGGCUCAACCGGGGAGGGUCAUUGGAAACUGGGGAACUUGAGUGCAGAAGAGGAGAGUGGAAUUCCACGUGUAGCGGUGAAAUGCGUAGAGAUGUGGAGGAACACCAGUGGCGAAGGCGACUCUCUGGUCUGUAACUGACGCUGAGGAGCGAAAGCGUGGGGAGCGAACAGGAUUAGAUACCCUGGUAGUCCACGCCGUAAACGCAUGAGUGCUAAGUGUUAGGCGGUUCCGCUCUCAGUCCCCCAGCG
rnacentral:rRNA from 1 species